UUCUUCAGACUCUUCUAAGUGCCCACAGA
rnacentral:sRNA from 1 species